rnacentral:sRNA from 1 species
GCUGGUCACGUUGGCACAUGCCUGUAAUCCCAGAGUCUUGGGAGGCUGAGACAGGAGAAAUUGUGAGUUCAAAGUCAGCCUCAGCAACGGAGAGGUGCCAAGCAACUCAGUGAGACCCUGUCUCUA